CCGUACACAAAAAUGCACAUACUGUGAGCUCGAUGAGUAGGGCGGGACACGUGGUAUCCUGUCUGAAUAUGGGGGGACCAUCCUCCAAGGCUAAAUACUCCUGACUGACCGAUAGUGAACCAGUACCGUGAGGGAAAGGCGAAAAGAACCCCGGCGAGGGGAGUGAAAAAGAACCUGAAACCGUGUACGUACAAGCAGUGGGAGCACGCUUAGGCGUGUGACUGCGUACCUUUUGUAUAAUGGGUCAGCGACUUAUAUUCUGUAGCAAGGUUAACCGAAUAGGGGAGCCGAAGGGAAACCGAGUCUUAACUGGGCGUUAAGUUGCAGGGUAUAGACCCGAAACCCGGUGAUCUAGCCAUGGGCAGGUUGAAGGUUGGGUAACACUAACUGGAGGACCGAACCGACUAAUGUUGAAAAAUUAGCGGAUGACUUGUGGCUGGGGGUGAAAGGCCAAUCAAACCGGGAGAUAGCUGGUUCUCCCCGAAAGCUAUUUAGGUAGCGCCUCGUGAAUUCAUCUCCGGGGGUAGAGCACUGUUUCGGCAAGGGGGUCAUCCCGACUUACCAACCCGAUGCAAACUGCGAAUACCGGAGAAUGUUAUCACGGGAGACACACGGCGGGUGCUAACGUCCGUCGUGAAGAGGGAAACAACCCAGACCGCCAGCUAAGGUCCCAAAGUCAUGGUUAAGUGGGAAACGAUGUGGGAAGGCCCAGACAGCCAGGAUGUUGGCUUAGAAGCAGCCAUCAUUUAAAGAAAGCGUAAUAGCUCACUGGUCGAGUCGGCCUGCGCGGAAGAUGUAACGGGGCUAAACCAUGCACCGAAGCUGCGGCAGCGACGCUGAUGCGUUGUUGGGUAGGGGAGCGUUCUGUAAGCCUGUGAAGGUGUGCUGUGAGGCAUGCUGGAGGUAUCAGAAGUGCGAAUGCUGACAUAAGUAACGAUAAAGCGGGUGAAAAGCCCGCUCGCCGGAAGACCAAGGGUUCCUGUCCAACGUUAAUCGGGGCAGGGUGAGUCGACCCCUAAGGCGAGGCCGAAAGGCGUAGUCGAUGGGAAACAGGUUAAUAUUCCUGUACUUGGUGUUACUGCGAAGGGGGGACGGAGAAGGCUAUGUUGGCCGGGCGACGGUUGUCCCGGUUUAAGCGUGUAGGCUGGUUUUCCAGGCAAAUCCGGAAAAUCAAGGCUGAGGCGUGAUGACGAGGCACUACGGUGCUGAAGCAACAAAUGCCCUGCUUCCAGGAAAAGCCUCUAAGCAUCAGGUAACAUCAAAUCGUACCCCAAACCGACACAGGUGGUCAGGUAGAGAAUACCAAGGCGCUUGAGAGAACUCGGGUGAAGGAACUAGGCAAAAUGGUGCCGUAACUUCGGGAGAAGGCACGCUGAUAUGUAGGUGAAGCGACUUGCUCGUGGAGCUGAAAUCAGUCGAAGAUACCAGCUGGCUGCAACUGUUUAUUAAAAACACAGCACUGUGCAAACACGAAAGUGGACGUAUACGGUGUGACGCCUGCCCGGUGCCGGAAGGUUAAUUGAUGGGGUCAGCGCAAGCGAAGCUCUUGAUCGAAGCCCCGGUAAACGGCGGCCGUAACUAUAACGGUCCUAAGGUAGCGAAAUUCCUUGUCGGGUAAGUUCCGACCUGCACGAAUGGCGUAAUGAUGGCCAGGCUGUCUCCACCCGAGACUCAGUGAAAUUGAAC
rnacentral:rRNA from 1 species